rnacentral:rRNA from 1 species
UACAGAGGGGGGCAAGCGUUGUUCGGAAUUACUGGGCGUAAAGGGCGCGUAGGCGGCCUACUAAGUCGAACGUGAAAUCCCCGGGCUUAACCCGGGAACUGCGUCCGAUACUGGUUGGGCUUGAAUCCGGGAGAGGGAUGUGGAAUUCCAGGUGUAGCGGUGAAAUGCGUAGAUAUCUGGAGGAACACCGGUGGCGAAGGCGGCAUCCUGGACCGGUAUUGACGCUGAGGCGCGACGGCGUGGGGAGCAAACCGG